CAGAAACAAAAAGCUCUUCUGGUUCCCUGUCUUCCUCAGCCCCCAUCCAAUCUGCCAGCUAGUUCCUAUCUUUAAGAUCUAGCUGCCUCCAAACCUCCCCAAAUGCAUCUUCUUCUGCGUCUUCACCAUCAGCAGCAUCUCCUGCCUGGACAACGGAGGGACCCUGACUGCUCCAUCUGCAUCCACCCUGCCCCCAACCCCCAUUACCACACAGAAGCCAAGCUUUUCCAAGGAUAUCUUCCUUGCUGGGCUUCCAAUUCUUGGACACACAACUGUAAGGAACUGCCCAAAUCUCAUCCUUAGCGAAGAUCAAACAAGAAUUAAACAAGCAAGUGAUAAACAUCGUAUUGACUUAACCUAACCACAUCAGGUUAAUUCUAAAGGGCAUCUUCUACUGGCUGGUGACGUGGUCUAAUGGAGUGAGUUGAAAUUUCAUCAUAUGCUCAUUGGACAAGCGGGACUCAUAUGCCCAAGCGUUGUUAAUAAAUAAUCUAGAAUUGCCGGACAACUAGGAGAAGCCAAUCUCCAGCAGGACUUAGGAGCAGUAGGGCACACAGUGGCCAUAUCUUGAUUGACACUCUCUUCAAAGGUCUACUAAUCCUAAGAUCUAUGUGAAUUGUUUUAUGACACAAGCAAUGAAAUCAAUGACAUUGCCACAACUUAACGGAAAAAAAAUGGAGUCCCACAGACUCUCCAGGUUCUUUUCCUCAGAGGAAAUUGAUUUGAGUGUCCUUUAGUCAAUGUCUAAAAGCACUGAGGUUCCUAUAACAGAUGAAGCCGCAGCGGUGCAGGCGACAAAUGAAAGGCCCAGGAAGCAUAAACUUUUUACUUAAAAAGCCAACCGGGCUUAACAACAAACAAUCCAUCUCUCCCAAUGAGAAGCUGAGAAAGAUAAGAGUUCUGCUUCAGCUACACCCGUGCACGGACCUGGGAGUAAAAGUUUUCCAUCUUAAAUGCCAAGGACAGGUGUAAACAGAAGCUCAGCGCUUCCUGGGAGGCGGCUUACAAAGAAGAACUAAUCAGAAGCCUUUCAUCUCUGACCCUUUACCUCCAGGUCUAUUCCGGGGCAUGGAGGUGAUGGGGCUGCUGUCCUUUGCGCCCAAGGAAGCGACAGGCAGCCUGCUGAUCAAUAGCUCCUCUGGUAAUGUCUUCAGAACUUAGAAGAGGGCCAGGGAGCAAAGCAGAAAUCAAUACUCGGGUCUAGGGGGAAGGAGGUUAUCGUUGUAUUAAUUUCAUUUCUAGAAAAGAGAGAAAACAACAAAAGCAAACUGACCCCCUUUGUACUCUUUGAGAAAUGAAUGUGCUUUCUGAGGAAGCAUGGAGCUGAGUCUCGGAUUUUAGUCAACCUCAUGCCCAAGGAUUAGGGGACAGGAGAUGAGUGAAGGAUUAAGAAAACAUGGACACUUCAUCUUGAACAAAUCCACCUUUUAAGUUAGGAGGUGAUGAACAAGCAUAUGCAAUCAAAGACAAAAGAAAACAAAAAGCCUCAAAAAUGAUCCUGCCCUCACUUUGCCCUGCUGGUGUCUGAUGGCUCUCUGGCCCCGGCCUCCUCACCACCUCUGGGACAUGGGCCUUUGUGUUCUCUAGCUCAUCACUUCCAUGGGGACCAGCAACUCCUCCCUGAUUCUUUAUGAGAACCUCACUCACGCACCACACCAACUGUGGACAGGACACAGGGGCAUGGACACAGUUCCCUCUGGAAUGGCUAUGCUGCCAUUUGACAAGACCAGCAAUGGCAAGCAUCCAAUUCAUCCAGAUACAUCUCAAGAGCCUUUUUCAAAUCUCAUCACUGCAUAGAAGCACAGGACACGUCCUUUACCAGCUCCUAUAUAAGCACAAGCUUUUGUUUUGUUGCACAGAAAAGACCUGCCAAAGAUACAGCUUGGGCAGAAUAUCUCCUUCUGUUCUCAGCAAGAUUAUUCAACUCUCAGAAGCUAAGGUUGGCUUCAGAGCCUGAACUUCCCCUCUACCAAAUGGGCCCCCUUAACACAUAGGAAUUCUAGAAUGAUUCUUUUUCUAGGAAGUAUGUGUCUUUUUCUAAGUAGCAGACUAGAAUUCAGAUUUAGCCCAAUUUGUUCUAAUCUUCAGUGUUGUCCAGAGGUGACUACAUCUGAAGUUAAUGAAAUUCAGCACCCCCACUUGCAUAGGCCCCUUCCAAGACGCUGGGAAGGAUAUGAGUAUUGUGUUCAACGUUUUUUGUCUUUUUAGUUCUGUUUUGUUUUGUUUUGUUUUGUUUUUGUGAGAUGGUGUCUCCCUUUGUUGCCUGCGCUGGAGUACAAUGGCGUGAUCUUGGCUCACUGCAACUCCACCUCUUGGGUUCCAGUGAUUCUCCUGCCUCACCCCCCCAAGUGGCUGGGAUUACAGGCACUUACCACCAUGCUGGGCUAGUUUUUUGUAUUUUUUGUAGAGAUGGG
rnacentral:lncRNA from 1 species